rnacentral:rRNA from 1 species
GGGACACGUGGUAUCCUGUCUGAAUAUGGGGGGACCAUCCUCCAAGGCUAAAUACUCCUGACUGACCGAUAGUGAACCAGUACCGUGAGGGAAAGGCGAAAAGAACCCCGGCGAGGGGAGUGAAAAAGAACCUGAAACCGUGUACGUACAAGCAGUGGGAGCACGCUUAGGCGUGUGACUGCGUACCUUUUGUAUAAUGGGUCAGCGACUUAUAUUCUGUAGCAAGGUUAACCGAAUAGGGGAGCCGAAGGGAAACCGAGUCUUAACUGGGCGUUAAGUUGCAGGGUAUAGACCCGAAACCCGGUGAUCUAGCCAUGGGCAGGUUGAAGGUUGGGUAACACUAACUGGAGGACCGAACCGACUAAUGUUGAAAAAUUAGCGGAUGACUUGUGGCUGGGGGUGAAAGGCCAAUCAAACCGGGAGAUAGCUGGUUCUCCCCGAAAGCUAUUUAGGUAGCGCCUCGUGAAUUCAUCUCCGGGGGUAGAGCACUGUUUCGGCAAGGGGGUCAUCCCGACUUACCAACCCGAUGCAAACUGCGAAUACCGGAGAAUGUUAUCACGGGAGACACACGGCGGGUGCUAACGUCCGUCGUGAAGAGGGAAACAACCCAGACCGCCAGCUAAGGUCCCAAAGUCAUGGUUAAGUGGGAAACGAUGUGGGAAGGCCCAGACAGCCAGGAUGUUGGCUUAGAAGCAGCCAUCAUUUAAAGAAAGCGUAAUAGCUCACUGGUCGAGUCGGCCUGCGCGGAAGAUGUAACGGGGCUAAACCAUGCACCGAAGCUGCGGCAGCGACGCUUAUGCGUUGUUGGGUAGGGGAGCGUUCUGUAAGCCUGUGAAGGUGUGCUGUGAGGCAUGCUGGAGGUAUCAGAAGUGCGAAUGCUGACAUAAGUAACGAUAAAGCGGGUGAAAAGCCCGCUCGCCGGAAGACCAAGGGUUCCUGUCCAACGUUAAUCGGGGCAGGGUGAGUCGACCCCUAAGGCGAGGCCGAAAGGCGUAGUCGAUGGGAAACAGGUUAAUAUUCCU